rnacentral:rRNA from 1 species
GAUGAACGCUGGCGGCGUGCCUAAUACAUGCAAGUCGAGCGAGCAGACGAGGAGCUUGCUCCUCUGACGUUAGCGGCGGACGGGUGAGUAACACGUGGAUAACCUACCUAUAAGACUGGGAUAACUUCGGGAAACCGGAGCUAAUACCGGAUAAUAUAUUGAACCGCAUGGUUCAAUAGUAAAAGACGGUUUUGCUGUCACUUAUAGAUGGAUCCGCGCCGCAUUAGCUAGUUGGUAAGGUAACGGCUUACCAAGGCAACGAUGCGUAGCCGACCUGAGAGGGUGAUCGGCCACACUGGAACUGAGACACGGUCCAGACUCCUACGGGAGGCAGCAGUAGGGAAUCUUCCGCAAAUGGCGAAAGCCUGACGGAGCAACGCCGCGUGAGUGAUUAAGGUCUUCGGAUCGUAAAACUCUGUUAUUAGGGAAGAACAAAUGUGUAAGUAACUAUGCACGUCUUGACGGUACCUAAUCAGAAAGCCACGGCUAACUACGUG